rnacentral:rRNA from 1 species
AGCGAACGCUGGCGGCAGGCCUAACACAUGCAAGCCGAACGGACCCUUCGGGGUUAGUGGCGGACGGGUGAGUAACACGUGGGAACGUGCCUUUAGGUUCGGAAUAGCUCCUGGAAACGGGUGGUAAUGCCGAAUGUGCCCUUCGGGGGAAGAUUUAUCGCCUUUAGAGCGGCCCGCGUCUGAUUAGCUAGUUGGUGAGGUAAUGGCUCACCAAGGCGACGAUCAGUAGCUGGUCUGAGAGGAUGGCCAGCCACAUUGGGACUGAGACACGGCCCAAACUCCUACGGGAGGCAGCAGUGGGGAAUCUUGCGCAAUGGGCGAAAGCCUGACGCAGCCAUGCCGCGUGGAUGAUGAAGGUCUUAGGAUUGUAAAAUCCUUUCACCGGUGAAGAUAAUGACUGUAGCCGGAGAAGAAGCCCCGGCUAACUUCGUGCCAGCCGCCGCCGUAAGAC